rnacentral:rRNA from 1 species
GACGUAGGGUGCAAGCGUUGUCCGGAAUUAUUGGGCGUAAAGAGUUCGUAGGCGGUUUGUCGCGUCUGCCGUGAAAGUCCGGGGCUCAACUCCGGAUCUGCGGUGGGUACGGGCAGACUAGAGUGAUGUAGGGGAGACUGGAAUUCCUGGUGUAGCGGUGAAAUGCGCAGAUAUCAGGAGGAACACCGAUGGCGAAGGCAGGUCUCUGGGCAUUAACUGACGCUGAGGAGCGAAAGCGUGGGGAGCGAACAGG